CCUACGGGAGGCAGCAGUGAGGAAUAUUGGUCAAUGGACGAGAGUCUGAACCAGCCAAGUCGCGUGAAGGAUGACGGAUCUAUGGUUUGUAAACUUCUUUUAUAUGGGAAUAAAGUGAGGAACGUGUUCCUUUUUGUAUGUACCUUAUGAAUAAGCAUCGGCUAACUCCGUGCCAGCAGCCGCGGUAAUACGGAGGAUGCGAGCGUUAUCCGGAUUUAUUGGGUUUAAAGGGUGCGUAGAUGGUUUAUUAAGUCAGCGGUGAAAGUUUGUGGCUCAACCAUAAAAUUGCAGUUGAUACUGGUAGACUUGAGUACAUUUGAGGUAGGCGGAAUGCGUGGUGUAGCGGUGAAAUGCUUAGAUAUCACGAAGAACCCCGAUUGCGAAGGCAGCUUACUAAACUGUAACUGACACUGAUGCACGAAAGUGUGGGGAUCAAACAGGAUUAGAUACCCUGGUAGUC
rnacentral:rRNA from 1 species